GCGGCUAUAGUUCAGUGGCAGAACACCGGUCUGUGGCACCGGGUGUCGUGGGUUCGAUCCCCACUAGCCGCCCCA
rnacentral:tRNA from 1 species